UACGUAGGGACCAAGCGUUGUCCGGAAUCAUUGGGCGUAAAGCGCGUGUAGGCGGUCCGGUAAGUCCGCUGUGAAAGUCGGGGGCUCAACCCUCGAAUGCCGGUGGAUACUGUCGGGCUAGAGUGCGGAAGAGGCGAGUGGAAUUCCUGGUGUAGCGGUGAAAUGCGCAGAUAUCAGGAGGAACACCAAUUGCGAAGGCAGCUCGCUGGGACGUAACUGACGCUGAGGUGCGAAAGCGUGGGGAGCAAACAGG
rnacentral:rRNA from 1 species